GGGGAUCGCAAGACCUCGCGCUAUUGGAGCGGCCGAUAUCAGAUUAGCUAGUUGGUGGGGUAAAAGCUCACCAAGGCGACGAUCUGUAGCUGGUCUGAGAGGACGACCAGCCACACUGGGACUGAGACACGGCCCAGACUCCUACGGGAGGCAGCAGUGGGGAAUUUUGGACAAUGGACGCAAGUCUGAUCCAGCCAUGCCGCGUGCGGGAAGAAGGCCUUCGGGUUGUAAACCGCUUUUGUCAGGGAAGAAAAGUCUGGGGCUAAUACCUUCGGACGAUGACGGUACCUGAAGAAUAAGCACCGGCUAACUACGUGCCAGCAGCCGCGGUAAUACGUAGGGUGCAAGCGUUAAUCGGAAUUACUGGGCGUAAAGCGUGCGC
rnacentral:rRNA from 1 species